GACGAACGCUGGCGGCGUGCCUAAUACAUGCAAGUUGAGCGAUGAAGAUUGGUGCUUGCACCAAUUUGAAGAGCAGCGAACGGGUGAGUAACGCGUGGGGAAUCUGCCUUUGAGCGGGGGACAACAUUUGGAAACGAAUGCUAAUACCGCAUAACAACUUUAAACAUAAGUUUUAAGUUUGAAAGAUGCAAUUGCAUCACUCAAAGAUGAUCCCGCGUUGUAUUAGCUAGUUGGUGAGGUAAAGGCUCACCAAGGCGAUGAUACAUAGCCGACCUGAGAGGGUGAUCGGCCACAUUGGGACUGAGGCACGGCCCAAACUCCUACGGGAGGCAGCAGUAGGGAAUCUUCGGCAAUGGACGAAAGUCUGACCGAGCAACGCCGCGUGAGUGAAGAAGGUUUUCGGAUCGUAAAACUCUGUUGGUAGAGAAGAACGUUGGUGAGAGUGGAAAGCUCAUCAAGUGACGGUAACUACCCAGAAAGGGACGGCUAACUACGUG
rnacentral:rRNA from 1 species